CAGAGCUCAGCCCUCGUACCUUUUGCAUCAUGAGUUAGCUAGCAUAAGCGAGCAAGGAGCCCCAAAGCCCGCCACCCCGAAACGGGGUGAGCUACUCCAGGACAGCCUAUUUUAGGGCCAACCCGUCUCUGUGGCAAAAGAGUGGGAAGAUCCUCGAGUAGAAGUGACAGACUUACCGAACCCCGUUAUAGCUGGUUGUCCGGGAAAUGGAUAUCAGUUCAGCCCCUUCAGCCCCUCUGCGAGCCAAGGGAGUUAUUCACAGGGGGUACAGCCCCUUUGAACCAAGAUACAACUUUUUAAGGAGGAAAAGGAUUAUCAUCAACCAAUAAGGGUAGCGCCUCGGUGGGCCUAAAAGCAGCCACCCCUAAGGAAAGCGUUAAAGCUCAAGCACAAUAUAUCAAUAACCCUCUCCUAAGCCCCACACACCCACCGGACUUUUCUACGUAGUAGAAGGGACCAUGCUAACAUGAGUAACAAGAGGCGAACCUCUCCCGGCACACGCGUAAAUCAGCACGGACCACCCACCGAGAAUUAACGGACCCAAUAGAAGAGGGGAAUGACAUAAAACUGGAAAAACAAUCCCCGUUGACCCCACACUGGUGUGCCCCCAGGAAAGACUAAAGGAAAGAGAAGGAACUCGGCAAACAAGCCUCGCCUGUUUACCAAAAACAUCGCCUCUUGCUAGUAUAAGAGGUCGAGCCUGCCCGGUGACAUCAUGUUCAACGGCCGCAGUAUUUUAACUGUGCUAAGGUAGCGCAAUCACUUGUCUUUUAAAUGAGGACCUGUAUGAAAGGCGUGACGAGGGCUUAACUGUCUCCUUUUUCAAGUCAGUGAAAUUGAUCUCUCCGUGCAGAAGCGGAGAUUGUACCAUAAGACGAGAAGACCCUGUGGAGCUUGAGACGUCAGGGCAGCCCAUGCAGACAUCCCUCCCCACGAGGCCAGGAGCAUAAUGGACCCUGCCCCAGUGUCUUCGGUUGGGGCGACCAUGGGGAACACCCAACCCCCAUGAAGAAUGGGAGCACUCCUAGAACCCGGAGCCCCCGCUCUGGUUAACGGAACCUUCGACUUAGACUGAUCCGGGUAAACCGAUCAACGAACCAAGUUACCCCAGGGAUAACAGCGCCAUCCCCUUCCAGAGCCCAUAUCGCCAAGGGGGUUUACGACCUCGAUGUUGGAUCAGGACAUCCUAAUGGUGCAG
rnacentral:rRNA from 1 species